rnacentral:misc_RNA from 1 species
GUGGCAGUUGUGGUGGAUCCAAUUCAGAGCGUUAAAGGGAAAGUGGUGAUAGAUGCUUUUCGCUUGAUUAACCCACAGACAAUGAUGCUUGGCCAAGAACCACGGCAGACAACUUCCAACCUUGGCCAUCUGAAUAAGCCAUCCAUUCAGGCAUUGAUACACGGAUUGAACAGGCACUAUUACUCAAUAGCCAUUAAUUAUAGAAAGAAUGAACUGGAGGAAAAAAUGCUUCUUAACCUGCACAAAAAGAAAUGGACAGAUGGAUUGACACUCAAGCGGUUUGAUACUCAUUCUAAAACCAAUGAACAGACUGUUCAGGAGAUGCUGAACUUGGCUAUUAAAUACAACAAGGCAGUGCAAGAGGAAGAUGAGCUGCCACCUGAGAAGCUAGCAAUUGCGAAUGUUGGAAGGCAAGAUGCAAAGAAGCACCUUGAAGAACA